UCUACCCUUAGGGAAAAAUUUCAUCCCAGUGAAAAUUAUUUUAUUUGGCAGACUAUUUAAUCUGCCCUUUGAUUCCAUUUUCCAGCCAGCCUUUUAAUAAAUGAUGCUGUAUUUUCCAGGGUAUGCCAACCAUGAGAUGUCUCUGCAACUGCCUUGCUGUGUCCUGUGACCCCCAACAAGCCGUUUCUACUUCUCUUGUCUACUUUCACCAGCUUCUGUUUCUCACUGUCCUUGUUAGCGAAAAAGAUCACUCCUGAAAAUCUUAUGGAGUAUUCAGAUCUCGAGUUUCUCAGCCCACGAUAUCCAAACAGUUCAAUGUCUCAGUCACACCUAAGUUCAAAAGCAAAGUAAGGAAUCAGGUCUCCUGUAACAAGCUGGCCUCUAUCCAUUACAGCAGAGGCUGAGCUUGAAUUCCUGAUCUUCCUGAUUCCAGCUUCCAAGGCGAGAGUUACAGUUUUACAGACACGUCCCCACCGUUUUCCCAGGCUGGGAUGCAGUGGGUUCCCGGGUGUCUGCAAGCUCCCUGGGGUUCACCAGGAGCCGGGCCCUCCAUCCCUGCACACUCUGGAGUUCCACGCUCCACCACUGCACGCUCCUCCCACCAAAGCUGCCAGUCGCGCAGAUUGGAGCCAGAACCAGAUGUAAACAUGGAGUACGCACGGGGACACGGGAUGGGGCUGCAGAGACGGAACCCCGAUCCGGGGCUCUGAUAACACCGCUAUAAGACAGCGCAUCUAGAAACCUAAACCCGCAGCGAGUUCCAAAGGGAGGAAGGCGCCCAGGGCCAGAGGGUCUCGGCCGGCCAGAGCCGGGGGCGGAGCUAGCGCGGGGGCGGAGCUUUCACACGCACCUCCCCGGCUUCUUCCUCCGCCCGGCAAGGCUCCUCCCUCUCAGGCUGCCACUCGGGGGUUUAUUUGUUUACAAGCAGAUUACGUCAGCUCCUCCCUCUCUCCCCGUCCUCUGGGCCCGCCCCCUGGCGGCCCUUCUUCCCGCCCCCUCCGGCUCCGAAUCUGCCUACGUCACAAUGGUGCGAUCUCCGGAUAGGCUG